rnacentral:rRNA from 1 species
AAUGGGCGGAAGCCUGAACCAGCCAUGCCGCGUGCAGGAAGGAGGCCCUACGGGUUGUAAACUGCUUUUGUACGGGAAUAAACCUACCUUCGUGAAGGUAGCUGAAUGUACCGUAAGAAUAAGGAUCGGCUAACUCCGUGCCAGCAGCCGCGGUAAUACGGAGGAUCCGAGCGUUAUCCGGAAUUAUUGGGUUUAAAGGGUGCGUAGGCGGCCAGAUAAGUCAGUGGUGAAAGACGGUGGCUCAACCAUCGCAGUGCCGUUGAUACUGUUUGGCUUGAAUGUACUUGAGGGAAGCGGAAUGUGGCAAGUUGCGGUGAAAUGCAUAGAUAUGCCACAGAACACCGAUAGCGUASGCAGCUUUCCAAGGUAUGAUUGACGCUGAGGCACGAAAGCGUGGGGAUCGAACAGGAUUAGAUACCCUGGUAGUCCACGCCCUAAACGAUGAACACUCGAUGUCGGCGAUAUACGGUCGGCGUCCAAGCGAAAGCGUUAAGUGUUCCACCUGG